CCUGUGACACGGAGGGCCCGGGCGGGGAAGGGUGGGGGGCUUGCAGGGGUGCCUGGGUCGGGGGCUGCAGGUGGGAGUGAGCAAAUGUGCUGUCUCGCCACCUCGGGACAGGUGGUAGGGCCUCUGACACAGAGUGGUCCUUCCUGCUGUUCACAGCUCAGCUCACCGUGGGCUGACCAUAGAUUCUCGUUGAAAUCCUAACGCCCCAGGCAAUGAUGUUAGGAGGCGGGGCUUCUGGGAGAUGGCAAGUUCGUGAGGCUGCAGCUCUGCUGGGGGAUCAGUGUCCUUCUACAAGCGGCUCCAGGGAGGUCCCUUGCCCCUUCCACCAUGUGAGGACCCGAGAUGGUGCCGUCUAUGAACCGGGAAGUGAGUCCUCUCCGGACGUGGAACAAGUUGGUGCCUUGAUUUUGAACUUGCAGCCUCCAGAGGAGCACCUGUUGAAGAAUCAUGACCUCUAUCGAGCAUUUACCUGGUCACGGACAUUUUGCUGAAGAAUUCACAAGUUCAUAUAAGGACACGCUUCAUCUCAAGUGUCCAGUUCAAUGAGUUCUGACAGAUACGGACAGUCGUGUGACUCCAGAUCACAAUGUAGGACGUUCUGGUCACCACGGGCUCCUGGAUGCCUCUUCCUACACGGCCACUAGCACGUUUGAAGUCACACACAGGGUAGCGCCGGCCUGGACAGAGGCGGACAUCUGACAAGCGGGCCAAUGAGGAUGACAUCUCGGACGGUAGUCACUGCUACAACGAAAGUCAGUGCCCCACCUUGCCCAGCCGCAGGGUGGACCCUAAGCAGCUCGCCCCACCCAGCCGGUCCUGCCUGCUCUGUCCCUCCCAACCCUGCAAUGGGCAGAUUUCUGGGGGGCAGUCUCUGACCCACUGUGGCCCAGGUACAGAACCCCGCCUUCAAGUCUCUGGGCCUCAGUUUUCUCAUCUGUGUGUUGGGGACAAAGACGCCGCCCGGCCAUCUCACCAGGCUGCCGAGCAGCGUGGAAGAGCUCUGGCUGUGAGUUCCAGAGUUCACAAGUCCGUGUAAUGGAGGCAUCGGCCGGCCUGGUUCCUUGAGAGGGGGUGAGGGAUCUGCUUCCCACUUCCGGCUUCUGGGGCUGUGCCGCAGUUUCUGCUGCUCUUCUGCUUGUGGAAGCAUCAUGGUCUCUGUCUUCACCUCACACCUGCUCCCUGUGCCCGUCUGUGCCCAAUUUCCCCUUUUCUCAGGGCCCAGACAUCUUAGAUAAGGGCUCACCCCAACCUAGCAUGACCUCAUCUUAGCCAAUUACGUUACCAGUGACCCUAUUUCCAAAUAAGGCCACUUCCUGGGGUGCUGGGGAAAGGACUUCAACGUGAAGUUUUGGGAGACACAGGUGCGCCCACAUCACCAGGGGUGUGUGAGCAUGAUGAGCAGCUCGGGGCUCUGGACCUGUCUGCGGGAGCUCCGAGUCCCACGGCACUUGGAGCUGGUUGAGAAUGGGGCUGGGAGCCCCAGGUCAGGUUGAAUUGGUGCUGGGGACACAUGUCUCGUCCCUGGUUCCCCCAGGCUUUAUUAUGACGCACAGUUUCCCGAGAAGCGGAGUCUGAGAUGGAGACUUUUGUACAAGGGACUCACUGAGAGGUACUCCCAGGAGAAAGUGGGGGUGAGACGCAGGACUGGGGGAGCUGAGCUGGGAGGGGCUCUCAGCCACAGCCCAGCCACAGCCCCAGAACCUGAAACGCACCCCAGAGUCAGCCCCACUCACUCAGAAGGGGGGUCCCUGCACCCUCCUCUGGCAGCCAUUGGCUGUGGUGGCCUCACAGGUGGGGCCCAGGGGUCUGUGUUCACACUGCCCAGCAGCAGGCGAGGCACACGGUGGGCUCUGGACGGUGGGCACUUGCUGGCUACACGUGGGGACAGAGCGGGUCCUUCCCUGCACCCUCUAUUCAUUUAUCCACACAGGGAUUAAUUCGUUUGUCCACUCGCUGGUUCCAUUCAGCACACCCCAUUCGCUCAGCUCAGCGUGGGCGGCAGAGGGGUCAGAGGUGGUGGGGGCCCAUGACCUCCUCUCUGGAGCUGCGCUAAACUGGCCAGCUGGCUCCUGGCUGGGGCCUCUCUGGGACUCAUCCUCCUGCCCUACUCACCUCCCUCUGCCUCUGUGCUUGCUGCUGACCACCACCCAAAGAAGCAGGCAUUUCUGGGCGAGGUGGGUCCCGGCCCCCUGUGGCCGAAGGUGUUCCCUGGGAAUGGACAGCUGUGAGCAGGCGGAGCCACACACAGAGCCACCGACCGGGCUGUGUAGGUGAAGGAGCCACGUGGAGGUGUGCAGGAGGUGGAACACUUAGGACCCUUUCCCGUGGGCAGAGACCCAGUGCCGGGGGAGGCCUGGCUGGGUCGUACCCCCAGCCUCACCCUGGCUCAGGACACCGGCACCCAGAAUCCUUGGGCCACUCCGAGCCCAGAGGCACCCAGGCCCUCCUUGAGCUACAUGCAGCUUUAAAACACACAUGUCCUUUGACCUCCUCCCACCCAGGGGGUUUCUCUGCUCUCUCCCCUUGAAUCUGGCGGCCUCCACCCCGCCCCGACCCCACACAAAUG
rnacentral:lncRNA from 1 species